rnacentral:rRNA from 1 species
CCUACGGGUGGCAGCAGUGAGGAAUAUUGGUCAAUGGCCGAAAGGCUGAACCAGCCAAGCCGCGUGAAGGACGAAGGUGCCAAGCAUUGUAAACUUCUUUUAUCUAGGGACAAAAUCAGGCUUGCAUGCCUGCCCGUGUGUACUUUAAGAAUAAGCAUCGGCUAACUCCGUGCCAGCAGCCGCGGUAAUACGGAGGAUGCGAGCGUUAUCCGGAUUUAUUGGGUUUAAAGGGUGCGUAGGGGGACUGUUAAGUCAGCGGUAAAAGCCGGGGGCUCAACCCCGGAGAGCCGUUGAAACUGGCUGUCUUGAGAAGUCUAGAGGUAGGCGGAAUGCGCAGUGUAGCGGUGAAAUGCUUAGAUAUUGCGCAGAACUCCGAUUGCGAAGGCAGCAUACCGGCGGCGAUCUGACGCUGAGGCACGAAAGCGUGGGUAUCGAACAGGAUUAGAUACCCCAGUAGUC